GAUUGCAAAUUCCGACAGCAGGAGGCGGCCGUCCUGCUUAUAUAUUCAGCAGAGGGAUCUGCCAGACCAUGACGGACGGCGCCAGCUCUUCCUGGUGGGGCUGCCGGGCCUUCCUGUGCACCCGGCGGUGGCCCUGCCCUCCACAGACCACCAGCGCCGAGUUGGCCUUGGCUUUCUUGGCCCGGCGUGCUUUGCUUCUCAGCGAGACAGGAUCCUUCAGGAGGUCAUAGAUGGUGCUGUCCUCUGAUCUGUGCUCUAGAGAGCUGGAGCCGUGAGACAAGCUCAGGGACCCAGACGAGGAGGACACGUCGCUUUUCUGAGUCAUCGAUCCCAGCGAAUCUCCCAACCAGAUGGCUGCGUCAGGGUCGCCCUGGCUCAGGGAUGAACCGGCUCCUUCACUCGGAAGUGCGUCCUUCUGGUCUUCGUCCUGGGGCUCGGGGCCGGGAGCCAGGCUGUCCCUGGAUUUGUCCUUGUCUUUCUCGUGCAGAGCCGUGGCCAGGACGAUGAAUUUGACAGGACCGUUGUGUGCAUGGUAGGAGACCAUGCCUCUUCCUGAAAAGGGAAACAGUUCAACAGCUGUCUUUUAAAAUAGGCAAAAUUUGAGAGAAGGAAGCAAAAACCCCAACACAUUCCUCCCUGCCCAAAUAACGAAGCCUGUGAUGUGAUUCAAAUUUUCAAGUCAUGAUCGUAUCAGAAACACCUGCAGGUCUUCUUAAUGCCACACAGAGCCCCGAAACCCCCACACUGAUUCUGUAAGCAUCACGUGGGCCUGGCGUGUCUUCUGGAUGCUUCGUGGGUGACGUGACAUAUGGACAGUGGCACGUGUCCUUUCCCCAAGUGCUUUCAGAUGAAACAGGCCCCAGCCCUCACCAUCAUCCUACUCUGGCCAAGGCAGAUGACAUCACUGAAUCUUCCACCAUGGUGAGAGUCCAUUUCCCAAAGAGGAGAGUGGCAAAGUGAAGUCUGCAGGGAGCAGGAGCUGGGGGGACUGUGCAGGGACAGGGCCGCUCAUCACCUGGCGAAGCACACACCUAUGUUCCCCGCACACCAGCGAUGCUGCCCCUGGGCAUGCCCCCAGAAGGAGCUUCUGGGCAUGCCCCCAGAAGGAGCUUCUGCCCAUGUCAGCAGAGUCAGCCACACAAAUAUUCAGAGACUUGAUGUGUAAUGCAAAUGGGUAGCACCUAGCUACCAUCCAGAGAAACACAGUGAGUGCACCUCCUUUCAGGAAGCACCUAGCUACCCAUCCAGAGAAACACAGUGAGAGUGCACCUCCUUUCAGGGAGCACCUAGCUACCCACCCAGAGAAACUAUGAGAGUGCACCUCCUUUCAGGAUGCACCUAGCUACCCAUCCAGAGAAACACAAUGAGUCCACCUCCUUUCAGGAAGCACCUAGCUACCCAUCUAGAGAAACAGUGAGAGUGCACCUCCUUUCAGGAAGCACCUAGCUACCCAUCCAGUGAAACAGUGAGAGUGCACCUCCUUUCAGGAUGCACCUAGCUACCCAUCCAGAGAAACAGUGAGAGUGCACCUCCUUUCAGGAAGCACCUAGCUACCCAUCCAGAGAAACACAGUGAGUGCACCUCCUUUCAGGAAGCACCUAGCUACCCAUCCAGAGAAACACAGUGAGUCCACCUCCUUUCAGGAAGCACCUAGCUACCCACCGGGAGAAACGGUGAGAGUGCACCUCCUUUCAGGGAGCACCUAGCUACCCAACCAGAGAAACAGUGAGAGUGCACCUCCUUUCAGGAAGCACCUAGCUACCCCUCCAGAGGAACACAGUGAGUGCACCUCCUUUGAGGAAGCACCUGGCUACCCAUCCAGAGAAACAGUGAGAGGGCACCUCCUUUCAGGAAGCACCUAGCUACCCAUCCAGGGAAACAGUGAGAGUGCACCUCCUUUCAGGGAGCACCUAGCUACCCAUCCAGAGAAACACAGUGAGUGCACCUCCUUUUAGGAAGCACCUAGCUACCCAUCCAGAGAAACAGAGUGCACCUCCUUUCAGGAAGCACCUAGCUACCCAACCAGAGAAACAGUGAGAGUGCACCUCCUUUUAGGAUGCACCUGGCUAUCCAUCCAGAGGAACAGUGAGAGUGCACCUCCUUUCAGGGAGCACCUGGCUAUCCAUCCAGAGGAACACAAUGAGGGCACCUCCUUUCAGAGGCAGGCUGCAGGCAGGGAGAGGAAAGCACUGUAGCUGCGGCACCAGCAGGGACUGACCCCAGCAAUGCCUAGAGAAAAAGCGACAGAGGCUGUGUGCACCACGGGACAGCUACAGAAAAUGCAAAAACAGGAAAGGUGAAAAGAACCCUUUAAGAUACAAAUUGGUACAACUACAGAGGAGGACCAAAGGAAUAAUUGACAUAAAACUCAGCAACAUCAUUUCCUAGGGUGUGAGCGGAGAGGGCUGAGGCUGAGAAGGGGCGGCUGAGGCUCAGUGUGUGAGUCACAGCCCCUUCUGAGCUGGGCACAGGCAUGUGGCCUCUUCUCAUUACCAUUUAAACUGUGAAACUGCAUUAUGCACAAUUCUAUGUAUUUACAGGCUGAGUGUCACUUAUCUGAAAUUGUUGGGACCACAAGUGUUUUGGAUUUUUUUUUUUUAAUGUUGGAAUAUUUGCAUUGCACUUGCUGGUUGAGCAUCCCAAAUCUGAAAUCCAAAAUCUGAAUACCUCCAAUGAGCACUGCCUUUCAGCAUCACGUCGACACAGAAUCUGGAGCAUCUGAGGCCAAGGCAGGCGAAUCACUUGAGGUCAGGAGUUCGAGACCAGCCUGGCCAACAUGAUGAAACCUCAUCUCUACUAAAAAUACAAAAA